CAGGGAAUAUUGCACAAUGGGCGAAAGCCUGACGCAGCGACGCCGCGUGAGGGAUGAAGGCCUUCGGGUUGUAAACCUCUUUCAGUGGGGAAGAAGCGAAAGUGACGGUACCCACACAAGAAGGCCCGGCCAACUACGUGCCAGCAGCCGCGGUAAUACGUAGGGGCCAAGCGUUAUCCGGAUUUAUUGGGCGUAAAGAGCUCGUAGGCGGUUUGGUAAGUCGGUCGUGAAAGUCCGAGGCUCAACCUCGGAAUGCCGGUCGAUACUGCCAUGACUAGGGUUCGGUAGAGGAGAGUGGAAUUCUCGGUGUAGCGGUGAAAUGCGCAGAUAUCGAGAGGAACACCAGUAGCGAAGGCGGCUCUCUGGGCCGAUACCGACGCUGAGGAGCGAAAGCGUGGGGAGCAAACAGGAUUAGAUACCCUGGUAGUCCACGCCGUAAACGUUGAUCACUAGAUGUGGCGGACUCAUUGACGUCUGCCGUGUCGAAGCUAACGCAUUAAGUGAUCCGCCUGGGGAGUACGGCCGCAAGGCUA
rnacentral:rRNA from 1 species